UCUGAUGUAGUCGAAUGGUUAUGAUUACGUACUCGUGGAUGGCGUGUCACAGGUUUGAGUCCUGUUGCCAUUGGAA